UACAGAGGGUGCGAGCGUUAAUCGGAAUUAUUGGGCGUAAAGCGCAUGUAGGUGGUUGAGUAAGUUUGAUGUGAAAGCCCCGGGCUUAACCUGGGAAUAGCGUUGAAUACUGCACGACUUGAGUCGGACAGAGGGCAGUGGAAUUUCCGGUGUAGCGGUGAAAUGCGUAGAGAUCGGAAAGAACACCAGUGGCGAAGGCGGCUGCCUGGGUCCAGACUGACACUGAGGUGCGAAAGCAUGGGGAGCAAACAGG
rnacentral:rRNA from 1 species